UCAGUGGUGGUUCGUGACCAUCCCACCGAAAAAAACUAGGAGGCU
rnacentral:ncRNA from 1 species